AAGCCUUCAAAAUGAUAAACUAAGGACAGGCUAUAGUAAGACCAUACAUGUGUCUCCAGACCUCGUUCUUUACCUAAGUCUGGUUUUCUAAAUGCUUGUGACAAGC